rnacentral:ncRNA from 2 species
ACCUUUGCCCCUGAUAUUGGUGACCGCCCUGGCUUUCUGCCGUGCGGUCUUAAAAGGGAAUCAGGUGUAAUACCUGAGCUGUACCCGCAACUGUUAUCUUCAAACCCAUUCUGCCCACCAUACGCCACUGUCUGCUUUGCCAGAUGGGAAGGCCGGGCCGGAGAAGAGAGCCAGGAGACCUGCCAACGUCUUACAUACACA